CAGAGAAUAGUUUAAUUCAGAAUCCUAGCUUUGGGAGCUAGGGGUAGGAGUUAGAAUCUCCUUUUUCUGA
rnacentral:tRNA from 1 species